AUAGAGAAGAGAGAAAGGACACAUCAAGCCUUCAACACAAGGCACAGCUGACUGACUCUGAGCAGGUGUGAACAAACAGUCAGGGAGGAUUGAGCUAAUCACCUCCUCCGGUUAACAUUGCUUCAUCUGCAGUCAUUUACCUUGCCCACAUCUGCCAACUUCCUCCAGCAAUUUCUGUUUUGUAUCACACCACAUUGACCGUGGGCAGGGCAGGAUGGUAACAUAAACACAAGGCACCAAACAGAAGUGGUAGCUGCAGGCAUAUCUGAUCGCCUUCGCCCCCUGGAGGAGACAGUGCUCUGCAUCAUAAGGCCAGCUGUGACAGAUAGCUACACCUGACAUCAAAAACAUACCUCCUUGCUGAUUGCUGCAGUCUCAUCAUAAAGGAUGGCAGCUACACCUUUGGUGAAAAACACUAUCACUUGCCAUGAUAAUUGUAGCCACCAGGUGACAUACUGACCCUGUCUUAAAGGAGCAGCAUGUGACAAGUCAACAGUUGUGAGUAGGGGCAGCUGGACCAAGAGGAAAGGAUACUUUGCAUGCUGACAUAUCAAUGGGCAAGGCCACAGAUGACAUCUACUGCAGAGGCUCAGAUCAGAGUUUCAAGCCAAAAUGCUCAAGACAAUGGUGAUGGACAUGCACAGCAAGAUGCUUGGUACAUUGAUAGGCCAGACUUGGUGAACAAAACUGGACAUGAUUAUGAAUUAUAGAGUGAUUUACUCAAUGACAAAAAACCUGUGAGAUACUAAUAUAAAUUAGGCUAAUGACGUAUUCAGAUACAACUACAUCCUCGGUCCUAUCUCAGAUUAAUCAAAACCAUAGAGAACUUUACAACACAGACACUAAGGACCCUGAGGUGACCGAGGUGGGGUCUCAAGCUGAAAAACUGGCUUAGCAAGAUGCCAUUUUGUUGAAAGAGUUGAAGUUUAUACUAGAAAUGAUUGCUCAGAGGCUUAUUAAAAAGCUGUCACUUCUCAUGCUUAUUAAACCGGCUGCACACUGUUGCAAUUAACACCCUUGCCUAACAGCAACCAUUUGUUUGAACUUAGACAUAGUGAUUUAAAUCAAAGUCAAAGUGAUAGUCAUUAGUCAUGCUCAUUGCUGCUGGAGGUCGGAAGCAAACUUCAGGAAAAUGUCAGAGACUCACUUAAACAUUUAGUGAAGACUUCACCAAUAGUUACUAAAAAGGACAGACAGAUUAACACAACUUUUCAUUUUGCACUCAUCAGGACAAAAACAAGAAUGCCAAAUUUCAAACAAUUCAUAGCGCAGGGAAAAAGGGUGCUUUCAGAAGUCAAUCCUGAUUGGCCAAGACAUUUAUGCCCUGUUUUCACUCUUUGCC